GUAAACCCUUUCACUUCUCACCUUUUUCAAUCUUCGCCAUCGUUCUCUCACCUCUGAUGUUUCUUCGCCGUUUCAUUCCCCUUUAUCAGCAUAGGGAAAAAAACUCUCGCUCAGUCAAGAAGCUACACACAUGGGUCGACGAUGGGACCAUAAAUGUUGAUCUCUCUAACAGGGAAUCUCUUUUGGUUUCAUCGGAAACAGAUGUUGAAUCUCCCAUAAACGAAGCGGAGGAAGAAGAAAGCCACUUGCCCUUAGAUGAACCCUAAACACAUACAAAACAACUGUGGUUCAGGGCUCUACUACUUCUGCAAGACCAGUGAGAAAUCGCCGCCCAAACAGGAAAUAUGAAGAUGGCUUAUCCAGAGAUCAAACAUUUGGCAGGACAUGUAACGAAAAAGCUGUCACCAAGGUACAAGGCACCACAGAUGUUAAGGGGGGUGAAUCAGUAAUUUUAUUAUCUGAUAUUGAAGAUGUAACCACCUUAAACAAAGAAGAUGAAGUGAAAGAAGACAAUGACCUGCCAUCACAGACAAAUACUGAUGGCGAGGUUUCCGUACUACCUGCAAAAACAAGGAGAAAGCACCGAGCAACCAGGUGAUUUGGAAUUUGGUUGAAACACAAUGUGAAACCCUUUCUUGCCUGUAAUUUUAACUUUACACCAACAUGAGACAUGGAGCUGAAGAUGGAUUGCUCUCGGUACUCCCGAAGAAAGAAAACACCCCCAGGAAAACGACCGAAACAGUAUCUCCAAAAGUUACAAGGACCCGACGUAUUAGCGGAUGCAAAAAUCAAAUCAUCUCAUCUGAUUUUGAGGGGUACAACGAAGCAAUACAACUGUUGGAUUAAAAUAUUGUAACUUUAUAUAAACAAAGAAGUGUAAAACAAAAUUUGUGAAAACUAACUCGUGCCCAUAUGGAAAAUUGGAGAUGCCACAAAGAAACACAAUUGUUGAA